AUUGAACGCUGGCGGCAGGCCUAACACAUGCAAGUCGAACGAGUGGCGGACGGGUGAGUCAUGUCUGGGACCCUGCCUGAUGGAGGGGGGUAACUACUGGAAACGGUAGCUAAUACCGCAUACCCUCAGAUGUGCCCAGAUGGGAUUAGCUUGUUGGUGGGGUAAAGGGUCACCAAGGCGACGAUCCCUAGCUGGUCUGAGAGGAUGACCAUCCAAACGGGAACUGAAACACGGUCAAGAAUCCGACGGGAGGCAGCAGUGGGGAAUAUUGCACAAGGGGCGCAAGCCUGAUGAAGCCAUGCCGCGUGUAUGAAGAAGGCCUUCGGGUUGUAAAGUACUUUCAGCGGGGAGGCGUUAACCGCAGAAGAAGCACCGGCUAACUCCGUGCCAGCAGCCGCGGUAAUUC
rnacentral:rRNA from 1 species